rnacentral:misc_RNA from 1 species
CCAGUUUGCUGCGCCUGUAAGAUUAUGCACGGUUGAUACAGAAUAUCUACAUUUCUUCUUGAAAAUUUUUGUCAACUUCCUGAAAAUGAAUUCUUUCAAUAACAAGACACCGGCAUAUAUGUAUGCCAAAGGUUUCAAGCUUGACAAAUUUCUUGGAAAUUUACAGGCUUACAAAAUUGCUACAGGCCAAGUAAACAAGAAUGAACUAAAGAAUGUUUCUGAAAGAUUUGGAUCUGACGAAGGUGCAGUGUUUGGAACUCUUAUUACAAAUGCCUCUAAAAGCUCCAAAAUUGAAGGUAAGAAGAGGCAAUCACCAGCAAGAAGAAGAAGGAGGAAAAGAGGAAAGCAAAACAAUGGAGAAGGGGAUGAAGAACAUCCUGAUCCCUCUGUGUCAAAGUCAAAUUCAGGAUCUCUUCCUUUGACUUUAGAUGAACCACUUACCAUUCCACCAGCACUGUUGGCAUACAAAGACUGUGGCUCCUCAGAUGAUGGUGACAAUGAUUCUAAAAAUGCACAGAUGGAUGGAUAUUCUUCAUCUACAACCAAUGAGAGUGAUGACUCCGAUGAGGGUGAAACAGACUUUUUUGGACUGAAUUCCAACGAAAAGGAAAUCAAAAGCUCAAAAUCUAAAACUUCCUCGGAAACAUACUGUGAAAGAUCAAGUAGAUACACAAGAGCAAAGGAGGAAAAAAGGCAGCUGAAUCAAACCAGUUAUACAGAAAAUAAGCCAGAGAUGUGGGAUAAAACAAAGCUUAAAUACAAAGAACAAAUCAGUACCUUAUCAACCUACAAGUGUUGGAGAUGCAGACGGGUUGGUCACCUCCCACAAGACUGUACAGUGAAGACUGUCAGCUCAACAGUUGAAUUUGCAAGGCAGCAAAAUGAAUUUUUAUACAGUUGCAGUGAUACUCUACAGAAACCUUCAGAGGGGCCGUAUGACUCCAGCCGAUUAAAAGAGUAUUACAAAAGAUGUCACAUGCUUCGCGAAUCCAAAGAUGCAAAGUGUAGUGACUGUGGCGUGAGGUCAAACCUGGCGUACUGUUUUGAGUGUGGAUUAAUUUUAUGCGACGGCCGCGGACAUCUUAUCGAUCAUCUAAUGGAGUAUCCCAGCCAUACGAAACUUUACUCCUACAAACUUCAGAGACAGAGUGUUUACAAGUCAUUACUCCAUGAUUAACGCAACCUGGUCUAGGACUGGACUAAAAGCGCUCCCUAAUACUCUCGCAUGUGAGCAGCAUUUUCAUUGGCACCGAAUGAAUUGUGCUAAUCCUACUGGAGAGGCCCUGGUAACGAGGGAAAAACUGGAGAAUAGUAGGGCGAGAGGCGACGGAC